rnacentral:misc_RNA from 1 species
GAAAUGCGAUAAGUAAUGUGAAUUGCAGAAUUCAGUGAAUCAUCGAAUCUUUGAACGCACCUUGCGCUCCUUGGUAUUCCUUGGAGCAUGCCUGUUUGAGUAUCAAGAAAUCUUCAAAGUAAAUCUUUUGUUAACUCAAUUGGUUUCUACUUUGGUAUUGGAGGUCUUUGCAGCUUCACACCUGCUCCUCUUUGUUCAUUAGCUGGAUCUCAGUGUUAUGCUUGGUUCCACUCGGCGUGAUAGGUUAUCUAUCGCUGAGGACACUGUAAAAGGUGGCCAAGGUAAAUGCAGAUGAACCGCUUCUAAUAGUCCAUUGACUUGGACAAUACUUUUAUGAUCUGAUCUCAAAUCAGGUAGGACUACCCGCUGAACUUAAGC